rnacentral:lncRNA from 1 species
GUAAUUCUCCCACCACGAAGCUGCUGGUCCUUCAAGCAGAUAGGCUGCAAACCGAACUUUCUCCAUAAGCAUCCCAAAAUUGAAAUUUUUUGGGAUGUGACAUCCGAAAAUUUCAAACUUUUACAUGUGCAUUGCAUCCAUAAGCAUCAUGCCACAAUUGCAACUUCAAACCAAUUGCAUCUUUUUAUUUCAAUUUAAACCCUAGGGUUUACACCCAUUUGAGCUUUGGAUCUUCAAACCAAUAGGGUUUAUUUAUAAAAGGGGUUUAUUGCAUAAAUAAGCUAUCUCAUAAUUUUUGGAUAAUUUUUUGGAGCUGAAAAACUAUUUUAUUUAAAUAGUUAUAUGGCCCUAAAUGUAUUGUUAUAUAUUUUAUUUUGAGGGGAAAUUGCUCCCAAAGGUGAAUCAUGAUAGAACAUGAUUUUACAAAUUUUCUAGAAUUUAAUUGGACCAAUUUAGAGUUCAAAAUCAAAAGAUAUCAAAGAAAUAAGAAAAAGAGAAAAAGAAAAGGCUAAGAGAAAAAAAAAAAAGGAAGAAACCGGACCGGCCCGGCCAAAU